CUCCCGUGCACUUAGCACCAUGCCUGGUUGCUACAGAGAAUGUGACCGACAUGGUCUCUCCAGUCAGGGAACUCAAGAUCAUGAACCUGAUGUACAUUUUGGUGGGAGAUGCAUCUCAGGAGAUUUCGUAUAAACGGUCAUUUGAAUCCAGAUGGUGCAUGCGAGGUUUAAAGGAGCUAAGUCAGUCCAAAAUUACACAGCUGGUAACUGGUGAUUUGUGGCUGAAGGAGGCAUGAAGUUGUAGGAGGAAAGAGCAGAUUCCAAGAAACACAGAUGCAAGCGAAGAAAAAUGAGAUGGAGUGGGCAAGUUUCCCUCCUCGGAGGAAGCGGGGUACUGCCUGGGUGAGCAGAGGAAACACUAGUGCCAGGUCUCUGAAGGGCUCCCGGACAGCAAAAAGUCAGGGCAAGGAAAAGAGUCCUCACUCCCCUUGCAGGAUUCAAACUGCUCAGCCCCCACCUAACCUGCUCCCCUACUGGCUCUCCCACCUCAGGAAAAGGCAAUUCUGGUCAGGUACAGUGUCUCACACCUGUCAUCCCAGCACGCUGGGAGCCCGAGGUCAGUGAAUCACCUGAGGUCAGGAGUUCGAGACCAGUCUAGCCAACAUGGUGAAACCCCAUCUCUACGAAAAAUACAAUAAUGAGCCAGGCAUGGUGGCGCUCGAGGCGGGAGAAUCACUUGAACAUGGGAGACAGAGGUUGCAGUGAGCCAAGAUCACGCCACUACAGUCCAGCCUGGGUGACAGAGCAAGACUCUAUCUCAAAAAAAAAAAAAAAAAGAUAAGGCAAUUCCAACCCCUUUCAGCUGCUCAGGAAGAAAACCUAGGAGCCACCUGCCUCAGGAAGCCUCUGCUGCCACAUCACAUUCCUAACCACCCCAUCCAAAAUUACAGCAGCCCUUCCCCUGAAGUUCAUCCUCCAUCCAGACAAUUUAGUAGGAUGGACUCCCAGCCACAGGCUCCAGACUAGACUUAUGGUCCAGACCUGGC
rnacentral:lncRNA from 1 species